rnacentral:rRNA from 1 species
GGCCUAACACAUGCAAGUCGAGCGGGGUUUUCGGACCUAGCGGCGGACGGGUGAGUAAUACGUAGGAAGCUGCCCGAUAGAGGGGGAUACCAGUUGGAAACGACUGUUAAUACCGCAUAAUGUCUACGGACCAAAGUGUGGGACCUUCGGGCCACAUGCUAUCGGAUGCGCCUACGUGGGAUUAGCUAGUUGGUGAGGUAAUGGCUCACCAAGGCGACGAUCUCUAGCUGGUUUGAGAGGAUGAUCAGCCACACUGGAACUGAGACACGGUCCAGACUCCUACGGGAGGCAGCAGUGGGGAAUAUUGGACAAUGGGCGCAAGCCUGAUCCAGCCAUGCCGCGUGUGUGAAGAAGGCCUUCGGGUUGUAAAGCAC